UAUCCUAAUUGGUAUCAGAGCGGUGGGGUUUCAGUUAACUUUCUAGAAAACCAUUUAAAUACAAGUAAUACUUGUUUCUAUUGUCAUGCAUUAAAAAUCGAAUAUGAAUCCACUGGUUUUUGUUGCAUGAAAGGGCAUGUUACUUUGUCAUAUACUGAACCUCCAUUAGAAAUUUGGGAACUUUUUUAAUGAAACAUAUAGUAUGACAGCAAUUUCCAAAAUAAUAUACGACGAUAUAACUGUGGUUUCCAAUUUACAAUAUUUUGGGCCCCGAAAAUGAUGGAAAGAUGUUACCGAGGAAAUAGUAUUUAUACAUUCAUGAUUAGAGGCCAGGUAUAUCACUAUACUCCACCAUUUGUACCUGUAGAUCGUCAACCUAGGUUCUUACAAAUUUAUUACCAUGAUACUGAAAAUGAAACUAAUAAUAGUUGGCAUCACCUCAAAUAAUUAAGUUUAUUUUAUAGAAACUAAUCGUGAAAUAAAUCCCCAAUAUAAUCCUUUUGUGACUAAAUUUUGAGGUCUUAUUGAACAUGGCAGUCUUGAUGAGUAUAACAAUGUUCUACAGAAAACAGUAAUUUAGACCAACGAGUAUACAACAAACCUUUUGCAAUUGGCGAUCUGGAUUGAUGGAAAUGACACAACGAAUAUAAACAAUGGAGUGUAUAGAAUAGAUCAUGAUCAGAUCAACUAAUAAUAAUAUCAAAUUAUUUCAACUAAUAAUAAUAUCAAAUUAUUUUUGUUGUUAUGAUCCUCUACAAUAUCCUCUGUUAUUCCCUUUUGGUGAAC
rnacentral:lncRNA from 1 species